AGUAAGAAAGUCAAGGCAGCAGGAGCCUGAAGCGGCUGCUCUCACUGAAUCGGAGAUAGACCAGGAUGACGGCUUGCCUGCUAGUUCUCAGCUUUCCACAGGAUCCUCCCUCCGCUGAUGUAAUGGUCCUGUCCACAAGUACGAUGCCUCUUCUCACAUCAAUGCAAGUAAUCAAGGAAUGAGUCAGCAUCCUGACUGGCGACCCCUAAUGGCCCACGCUCGCACUACAGCCACUUCCCCAAGGCAACUUUGAAAUCUGCCUGGGGAUGAAUGACAAAGGAGUCCACGACCAGAGCAACUAAUCGGAUGGUGCCAGCUACAGGGAGUGAGAUGCCCUGGACCAAUGGGGCACGGACAGAGCGUAUAAAGGCACACCCGAUCCCGCAAUAAACGAGUCUGCUUCCGCUUUGCACAUGA